rnacentral:rRNA from 1 species
UAUAAGACUGGGAUAACCUCGGGAAACCGGAGCUAAUACCGGAUAAUAUAUUGAACCGCAUGGUUCAAUAGUGAAAGACGGUUUUGCUGUCACUUAUAGAUGGAUCCGCGCCGCAUUAGCUAGUUGGUAAGGUAACGGCUUACCAAGGCAACAUGCGUAGCCGACCUGAGAGGGUGAUCGGCCACACUGGAACUGAGACACGGUCCAGACUCCUACGGGAGGCAGCAGCG